rnacentral:misc_RNA from 1 species
CCGAGUUCAUGCCCUUACGGGUAGAUCUCCCACCCUAUGUUAUACUACCUUUGUUGCUUUGGCAGGCCGUCAGGCUUCGGCCAGGCUACCGGCUCCGGCUGGUAAGCGCCUGCCAGAGGACCCUAAACUCUGAAUGUUAGUGUUGUCUGAGUACUAUAAAAUAGUUA